rnacentral:rRNA from 1 species
AUUUUGGACAAUGGGGGCAACCCUGAUCCAGCCAUGCCGCGUGUGUGAAGAAGGCCUUCGGGUUGUAAAGCACUUUCGGACGGAACGAAAUCGCGCGAUCUAAUAAGUCGCGUGGAUGACGGUACCGUAAGAAGAAGCACCGGCUAACUACGUGCCAGCAGCCGCGGUAAUACAGAGGGUGCGAGCGUUAAUCGGAAUUACUGGGCGUAAAGGGCGCGUAGGCGGCCACCGCAAGUCAGUUGUGAAAUCUCUGGGCUUAACCCAGAAAGGUCAACUGAUACUGCGGGGCUAGAGUGCAGAAGGGGCAACUGGAAUUCUCGGUGUAGCGGUGAAAUGCGUAGAUAUCGAGAGGAACACCUGCGGCGAAGGCGGGUUGCUGGGCUGACACUGACGCUGAGGCGCGAAAGCUAGGGGAGCGAAC